CAGUAGCCACGGUAAUACGUAGGUCCCGAGCGUUGUCCGGAUUUAUUGGGCGUAAAGCGAGCGCAGGCGGUUAGAUAAGUCUGAUGUGAAAGCCCACGGCUCAACCGUGGAGGGUCAUUGGAAACUGUUAAACUUGAGUGCAGGAGAGAAAAGUGGAAUUCCUAGUGUAGCGGUGAAAUGCGUAGAGAUUAGGAGGAACACCAGUGGCGAAAGCGGCUUUUUGGCCUGUAACUGACACUGAGGCGCGAAAGCGUGGGGAGCAAACAGGAUUAGAGACCCCCGUAGUCCCUGUCUCUUAUAC
rnacentral:rRNA from 1 species